GAAUAUUGGACAAUGGGGGAAACCCUGAUCCAGCAAUGCCGCGUGUGUGAAGAAGGCCUGCGGGUUGUAAAGCACUUUCAGCAGGGAGGAAAAGCUUCAGGCUAAUAUCCUGGAGUCUUGACGUUACCUGCAGAAGAAGCACCGGCUAACUCCGUGCCAGCAGCCGCGGUAAUACGGAGGGUGCAAGCGUUAAUCGGAAUUACUGGGCGUAAAGCGCACGUAGGUGGUUUGUUAAGUCGGAUGUGAAAGCCCCGGGCUCAACCUGGGAAUUGCAUUCGAUACUGGCAGGCUAGAGUCUGGUAGAGGGUGGUGGAAUUCCAGGUGUAGCGGUGAAAUGCGUAGAUAUCUGGAGGAACAUCAGUGGCGAAGGCGGCCACCUGGACCAAGACUGACGCUGAGGUGCGAAAGCGUGGGGAGCAAACAG
rnacentral:rRNA from 1 species